CCCACCCUGACGCAUCCUGUACUGAGCUGCCCCGAGCUGAGCACAGUGAAGGACCUCGGGGCAGCUCAGUACAGGACCCCUCAGGGAGGG